UAUUAAUAACUGACCGUUAUUCUCUGCCCUAAUCAAUCAGAGUUCAGAUCGUCGGCAAAGACAACACAGAAACGCACGGUCAGCCUCGGCGGGCAACCCGCUUGAGUGCAUGUGCUGAUGUCAUCAGGUAAGUCUCGGUGGUUUACAUUCUCUUCAAACCCUUUUCGGCCUUUUGGACCUGUCGCUUUCAAGUCGACCCCCAAACCUCACCUCUCCUCUCUUCUCUUCUCUACUAAUUAAACCUCCUGAGCAGCACUUCCACACUCACUCCCUUCCUUCAGACUUUGGUCCCUUCUCUCUCUCUCUCUCUCUCUCUGAUUUAUGGGAGAGAGAGAGACAGGUUUUCAGGUUGCAGAGAAGAAAGCAGGAGAGAAGUUUACAAUUCAUACACAGUCAAGCUCGUUUACCCAAGAAUCCAUAAUCAUGUAUUGGUUUAAAGCUUCAAGUGUCAGAAUCUUUUGCAGGAAUGGAAACUUCUUUGAUGAGAUGAUCUUAACAAAUUUUUGGUAUCUCACUCAAGAUUUUCCGGUGAUGAUGUCGAUUUGGUCACCUUGACUAGGUGCUAUCCUACCUGAGCUUUUUUUUUUUUUUUUUUUUCUUUCUGUUAUAUUCUAUUAUUUCUUCUUGUGUCUUCUUGACCUUGUAAGACCUUUUCUCACAGUUGUCAUCUUCGUUCUCCCUUCACAUUUAAACUCUCUAUCUUCAAUUACAGACGGAGAGUUUAGCUUUAAACUUUCCCUGUACCCGCCCAACUCACCACCUCUCUUCCUGUCUAUCCCUCCUGAGCUUUUCCUUUCUCUUGUUGUAAAAGCCUUGUGCUUCUCACUUGUUUGUAAAAAUUCUUACUUUUUAGGAUUUCCUUUUUGGUUCGAUUUUAGGGCAUUGGAUAUGUUCUUUGUAUUAUGCGUGCAGAAAUAUGCGUUUUGCAGACUUCAAUUUUGUUGUUUUAUAUGCUGUUACCUGAUGUAAUAAUACAGAGAUAUAUAUUCUCUC